GUUAGUAGACCGCCUGGGGAGUACGGUCGCAAGAUUAAAACUCAAAUGAAUUGACGGGGGCCCGCACAAGCGGUGGAGCAUGUGGUUUAAUUCGAUGCAACGCGAAGAACCUUACCUACUCUUGACAUCCAGAGAACUUUCCAGAGAUGGAUUGGUGCCUUCGGGAACUCUGAGACAGGUGCUGCAUGGCUGUCGUCAGCUCGUGUUGUGAAAUGUUGGGUUAAGUCCCGCAACGAGCGCAACCCUUAUCCUUGUUUGCCAGCACGUAAUGGUGGGAACUCCAGGGAGACUGCCGGUGAUAAACCGGAGGAAGGUGGGGACGACGUCAAGUCAUCAUGGCCCUUACGAGUAGGGCUACACACGUGCUACAAUGGCGUAUACAGAGGGCUGCCAACUAGCGAUAGUGAGCGAAUCCCAGAAAGUACGUCGUAGUCCGGAUUGGAGUCUGCAACUCGACUCCAUGAAGUCGGAAUCGCUAGUAAUCGUGAAUCAGAAUGUCACGGUGAAUACGUUCCCGGGCCUUGUACACACCGCCCGUCACACCAUGGGAGUGGGCUGCACCAGAAGUAGAUAGCUUAACCUUCGGGAGGGCGUUUACCACGGUGUGGUUCAUGACUGGGGUGAAGUCGUAACAAGGUAGCCCUAGGGGAACCUGGGGCUGGAUCACCUCCUUACCUAA
rnacentral:rRNA from 1 species